ACUAAACUAUACAAGUUGUAAGUAGAAUGAUCAACUUUUAACCAUUUACAAACAUUCAACCUAUAUAUUCAUGAUUCUUUUACCACAUACACGCUUUUUAUCAUUUCUUUUUACAUCACAUUUCUUCAAAAUAGAAAGCUUACAUUUAUUUCUUUAACAUCUCUAAUCAUCAAAUACACAAGAUGAUGUACGGGUAUGCUACUAGCAAAAUAUGAAAACCCAACUCCGGUUGUCACUGCCUACGGCGCGAUACCUUUACCGCGGUCGCUUGCCGGCUUGCUCGGUCCCGGCUCUGUGAAAAUAGU
rnacentral:lncRNA from 1 species